UUCAGGAUUAGGAUUAGGUAUAUGCCCCUCCGACCAUGCUAAGCCUUUGUCCUUGUUCAGAGUUUAUGCAGGAAGCCCCGAAAAUGGGACCUUGAAGUUCAUGCUUUUGUUCGCCUAUGGUGUUGGGGGAGUUGAGAUUAUCGUUAUCCUUCUUGCCUGGUGUUUCUUGAAUAAGUCUCAGAAGGACUCCAAUGAAGCUACACAAAACUAUCAUCCUGCAGCAACUGGAUUUAAAAGAUUCACUUAUUCUGAGCUCAAAAAAUCAACCCGGAACUUCAGCCAGGAAAUUG
rnacentral:misc_RNA from 1 species